GACCAGACUCCUACGGGAGGCAGCAGUGAGGAAUAUUGGUCAAUGGGCGCGAGCCUGAACCAGCCAAGUCGCGUGAGGGAGGACGGCCCUACGGGUUGUAAACCUCUUUUGCCGGGGAGCAACGGGCGUCACGUGUGGCGUCACUGAGAGUACCCGGAGAAAAAGCAUCGGCUAACUCCGUGCCAGCAGCCGCGGUAAUACGGAGGAUGCGAGCGUUAUCCGGAUUUAUUGGGUUUAAAGGGUGCGUAGGCGGAUCGUUAAGUCAGUGUAAAAAUGGGGGGGCCCACCCCCUCCCCGCCAUUGAAACUGGCGAUCUUGAGUGGAAGAGAAGUAUGCGGAAUGCGUGGUGUAGCGGUGAAAUGCAUAGAUAUCACGCAGAACCCCGAUUGCGAAGGCAGCAUACCGGUGCACGACUGACGCUCAGGCACGAGAGCGUGGGUAUCGAACAGGAUUAGAUACCCCAGUAG
rnacentral:rRNA from 1 species